rnacentral:rRNA from 1 species
AGGACGAACGCUGGCGGCGUGCUUAACACAUGCAAGUCGAGCGGAAAGGCCCUUCGGGGUACUCGAGCGGCGAACGGGUGAGUAACACGUGAGUAAUCUGCCCAUCGCUUCAGGAUAGCCAUCGGAAACGGUGAUUAAUACUGGAUAUGACGUUCCUUCGCAUGUUGGGGUGUGGAAAGUUUUUUCGGCGGUGGAUGUGCUGCGGCCUAUCAGCUUGUGGUGGGUAAUGGCUACCAAGGCUUUGACGGGU